GAAAGAAAGAAAUUGUAUUUAGAGGAAUGAUAUUUGCAAUCUUGAUGUUUGAUAUUGAUCAAAAAGCUUUGGAAGCAACUGGUUUGACAAUUUUAUUUCUUUUCAGUGUGUAUCAUGCAUCUCUCUCUAAAUUGCUUGUAACAUAAUCAGAAAGCGCUGACCCAUAGCCUACACAAAUAUCAUAAAUAAUAGAUUCCAGCUUAGUGAAUCUUGUACUAGAGACAGCUGUAGUGAUAAUACAUGAAUUUUCUUAUUCUGUCUUCUCCAUUAUCUUGUUUGUAGAUGUGGCAAGAUACUACAGUUCUUCACAGCUUCAAAGCACUACAUGCACAGUGUACACACAGAUGUCCUUAGUGUUUCAAAUAUUCACCUUGUUCACCAAACCAAUGUAUUGUAUCCCCCUCUGCAGUGUAUAUGGAAAGGUACAAGCCUAUCUCAAACCAAUCAUCAUGAUCCAAGCAGGUAAGUAGAGUAUUUCAAAAUUUGACAUUAAGCCAUUUAGCUUUUCGACAUCGACAUUGGUAAGAAAUAAUGAAGUAUAUGUCUCAUACAGAGUUUCUUUUUAUGAGGCAUGAGUAACAUAAACAUCAUAGAGUAAGAGAAAACUUCAUCAUCUUCCAGAAGACCUUGAAAAACUGUAGGAAAUAUGAUGCUUCCUACAGAAGAUUUGCUGGUAAUUCCAAUGUUCAUGAUGUGAUUCUUAAUUUUAGAAGUCACGCUUAAUUUGAUUUGCUGCUGUGUUUCAGAACUACAGUUUAUGAAGUUCUGUCAACUGUGAAAGUGAGUAAAGUGUGUUUAACAGAAAGAGUUCAUUUGUUUUUCAUUAACAGAGCUGAGUUAGUCCAACAUUUAAAACUCUGUCGUAUCUCUUUCUUUGAUUCUUUCAAAAGGACUUUUGGGUUAAAGUGUAGUGUACCAGUACAUUAGUCCAAGGAAAAUUCCACAGAGCAGAGAUAUUAUCCAAUUUCUUGUUUGUCUGAAUAUAAUUUCUGUUAACAUUGGAACAAAAGGCACAAGAACAGCAUAUCUUCAGUCAAUCUUACAACAUUACAAUGAAUCUUUUGAACACUAGGAACCAAGUUUUAAAGUGUGCUUCUCCAUUAAAGCAGAAAAUUACACUAAGGAAAAAGGUACCCGACCUGUUGCUGCUCCAUUGCAACAGUUUUACAAAUUGUGCUUUGCUUUAAACUUGUAUUGGAAAAAAAUGGAAUGUUGUUGACAAUCUGACUGAAUUUGAAUUCUGAUGGUUUAUGCUAAUUAAAAGUCAAUUCAGUUACACAUAUGUUGAAGAGGAGUCUGAUACCUCUAUAAGUCAUUGUUCUUAGACACUUCUGCUUCUUCCUCAUCUCUGAUUGCUUUGCAUAUCAUUCAAGGAGCACAAGUGUAUUCUUUAUAGUAUUAAGAAUAAGUGAAAAAUACAUUUUUUCCCCUUCCCUAUUACUGUCAUCUUCAUACGUAACAGUUUCCUGG
rnacentral:lncRNA from 1 species